GAUUCCGGGGUUAUAACGGUCUUAGGCCGC
rnacentral:sRNA from 1 species